CCACCGCGUAGAGGCAGAACAUCGUUAAAAUCCAUAUCGGGAUUAUCCUUACCACGCUCCAGAAGAAUUUUGUGUACUCCCGCUUAACGCUGAACGACUCCAGAGUGUCGUCCACCUGUUCGCACCUUCGUAUAAUCUGCCUCAAGUCCUGUGUACUUGAAGGACGACAAUGGCAUCGAAAAAAUCUUGUGCAAUAUAUCACAGUUUUCCUAACAUCCACCUUACUUACCUUCGUGUGAACAAACCCGAAAACUACGGACACACAGCUGACCACGAUGCUCACCCAAAAAUAUAAAGACUGGUGCAAGUCGCGGCGUAUAACAAGCUGAGACAGUAGGCAGGACGUCCCGAGAAGUGACAAACGUCCAGGCAAAACGCUCUGUUCAACCAGACAAUCGGUGCCAGAGCAGAGCUCUGACUUUUCACUUGAAACUGCAUCCCGAACAUUUUACCUCGGAUACCUUUCUGUAGCAGUGACCGAACGGCGAGUAUGACAAGCGUUAGUUCGCACCAUCGUUAUUGCCUGCUCGCCAUUUAAUUAGAAUUUGAUUAUUCACGAGUUCGAUCGACUGGAAAUUGGCUGCGGCCUUUUAAUUGUCACGUUGCGUGACCGGAUCAUUUAUUAUUGCAAUCUUUCCGACGAGAGGGAGAAUCGUCGUUUCAAUAUAAUGAAUAGGAUCGUUGAUGUAAUUAGAUGGCCUCGCAGCAAGCGAAACAAAACUGUGAAAACGCAACAUGUUAUAUGGAAAAGUAUUAAAAUGAUUUAUUCUCACUCGGAUUACGAAUAAAAUAAAGGUCGAUCACCCUGGUUAUCAAACACUUAAAUAUA